GUAGGUGGCAAGCGUUGUCCGGAAUUAUUGGGCGUAAAGCGCGCGCAGGUGGUUCUUUAAGUCUGACGUGAAAGCCCCCCGGCUCAACCGGGGAGGGUCAUUGGAAACUGGGGAACUUGAGUGCAGGAGAGGAAAGUGGAAUUCCACGUGUAGCGGUGAAAUGCGUAGAUAUGUGGAGGAACACCAGUGGCGAAGGCGACUUUCUGGCCUGUAACUGACACUGAGGCGCGAAAGCGUGGGGAGCAAACAGGAUUAGAUACCCUGGUAGUCCACGCCGUAAACGAUGAGUGCUAAGUGUUGGGGGGUUUUCCCGCCCCCCGUCAGUGCUGCAGCUAACGCAUUAAGCACUCCGCCUGGGGAGUACGGUCGCAAGACUG
rnacentral:rRNA from 1 species